UGGAGCAUGUGGUUUAAUUCGAAGCAACGCGAAGAACCUUACCAGGUCUUGACAUCCCGAUGCUAUUUCUAGAGAUGAAAGUUACUUCGGUACAUCGGUGACAGGUGGUGCAUGGUUGUCGUCAGCUCGUGUCGUGAGAUGUUGGGUUAAGUCCCGCAACGAGCGCAACCCCUAUUGUUAGUUGCCAUCAUUCAGUUGGGCACUCUAGCGAGACUGCCGGUAAUAAACCGGAGGAAGUGGGGAUGACGUCAAAUCAUCAUGCCCCUUAUGACCUGGGCUACACACGUGCUACAAUGGUUGGUACAACGAGUUGCGAGUCGGUGACGGCGAGCUAAUCUCUUAAAGCCAAUCUCAGUUCGGAUUGUAGGCUGCAACUCGCCUACAUGAAGUCGGAAUCGCUAGUAAUCGCGGAUCAGCACGCCGCGGUGAAUACGUUCCCGGGCCUU
rnacentral:rRNA from 1 species